GCUCUGGGGCUGCCAUUGCUGGGAUGGUGCUGGUUCUUCCGCUGUUUGUGUCUUGUUUGUGCUCGUCGGGCCUUUUGCUGAGACUUCUGGUGGUUGCGCCCACGUGGGCUUGGUCUUCGUCUGUGGUGUUGUUGUGUGUCGGGAUCCUGUGGACGCCUGCCUUCUGGUCAUUCUUCGGUUUGUCUUUCUCAUUUCUCGGCCUGCUAUGCAGGGUGGGGUGUCUUCUGUGAGUCAGUCGGCUGUUCGUUUUCUGUGCUGGGGUCUUGAGGACGCUGGAGGCUCUCAUUGCGUAUGGUGCCGCUUUGUAUUCUGGGUUCUCUCUUGGUUUAGCCGUGUCUUUGCCCUUCAGUGAUUGUUGUGCGUUUGU
rnacentral:lncRNA from 1 species